rnacentral:lncRNA from 1 species
CGGUCAAAUGUUUAAACGUUUCGUUACAAAGUUUGCACUUAACUCUAUCAGUACCUUCUAUUAUUUCAAAAAAUUUCCAAACAGGACUUCUUUUUAUACGAGUAGAAGUUGGAGCCACUGGUGGUCUUCUACCCCUUGUUGCACUACAACUCCAACUCCAAUACUACCAACAUUUCCACUACUAGGUGUACGUGGUAUCUCAUCUGCUAUUCCAAUUUCACUAUCUUCUAUUCCGUAAUCUUCUUGUAAUUGUUCAUAAUCAAUUUCUACAUCUUGCAAAUUAGGCGAUGAUUCAGAAGCAUGUGUUAUUGGGUCAUUACUAUUACUACCAGAAGCUACAGGACUACCUCUUUUUUUACUUCCACCCCUACCAGUAACUUUUCUACACGCUCUUUNNNN